AUGCCACGUGGAAACUUCGAAAGGAGAGGAACCUUCAUGUUUUCCAUCAUAAGGUGUUGUAGCUUUCCAAGGUGGUCGUUCUCAUUAAGGUCGAUAUUGCUCAAGGUACCCUUGCUUUCUCAAACGGGCCUCGGUGGCCACAUAUACAUGUGUCCAUGCUUAUGCGAGUUUGCGACCUUAUGGACCUUUUGGUUCCUUAUUCAUAAACUAUUGAUGGCAUACUAUCUCACAAGAUGUGGAGUAUAUAUUCUGUCUAAAAAUAAGUUUUGCUUUGCAUGUAGGGAAGAGAGAGGUUCACCUAUAUUCUUCAUUUAG
rnacentral:rRNA from 1 species